GAGGGUCUAGCUCAGUGGUGGAGCACAUGCUUAGCAUGCACUAGGUCCUGGGUUCAAUCCCCGGUACCUCCA
rnacentral:tRNA from 1 species